rnacentral:tRNA from 1 species
GGGCCGAUAGUUCAGUGGAAUGAAUCCUCGGCUUGCAUCCGAGGGGUCGCGGGUUCAAAUCCCGCUCGGUCCACCA